rnacentral:rRNA from 1 species
AGCGAACGCUGGCGGCAGGCCUAACACAUGCAAGUCGAGCGCCGUAGCAAUACGGAGCGGCAGACGGGAGAGUAACACGUGGGAACGUACCCUUUGGUUCGGAACAACCCAGGGAAACUUGGGCUAAUACCGGAUAAGCCCUUACGGGGAAAGAUUCAUCGCCGAAGGAUCGGCCCGCGUCUGAUUAGCUAGUUGGUGGGGUAAUGGCCCACCAAGGCGACGAUCAGUAGCUGGUCUGAGAGGAUGAUCAGCCUCACUGGGACUGAGACACGGCCCAGACUCCUACGGGAGGCAGCAGUGGGGAAUAUUGGACAAUGGGCGCAAGCCUGAUCCAGCCAUGCCGCGUGGGUGAUGAAGGCCCUAGGGUUGUAAAGCCCUUUCGGCGGGGAAGAUAAUGACGGUACCCGCAGAAGAAGCCCCGGCUAACUUCGUGCCAGCAGCCGCGGUAAAAC